CCCACCAUGAAGUUGAACAGCCUCAUGGCCUUCGUGGUGCUCCUGGCCCUCGGCAUCCUGGCGUCCUCGGCUGUGGAAGGUGCUAGCAAAGUUAAGGUCAAUCCUGGGAAGUGUCCCGUGGUCACUGGCCAAUGUAUGAUGCUCAACCCCCCAAACAAGUGCCUGAAUGACAGCCACUGCCUGAACGGCCUCAAGUGCUGCAAGGGAAUGUGUGGGAACGUAUGCGUCAAGCCAGUGUGAGAUUUAUUCUUGUCAGGUCACUAAGGCUAGGACUUCCUGGUAUGUGUGGUCUGGGGAUUCCUUAUCCCCCACGCCCGGAGAAAAUGAGAGUACCGUGAUGAAGACGUGUCUGUGUGACCGAUACCUCCUUGAGGGUAAAGGUGUGACCUGUUUUAUCUACAUACCCUCCGCAUCCAACGUGAAGCUUGGCACAAAGGAAAUGUUUGUUGAUGAGUGAAUAA